rnacentral:rRNA from 1 species
UACGUAGGGGGCAAGCGUUGUCCGGAAUCAUUGGGCGUAAAGAGCGUGUAGGCGGCCUGGUAAGUCCGCUGUGAAAGUCCAGGGCUCAACCCUGGAAUGCCGGUGGAAACUGUCAGGCUAGAGUCCGGAAGAGGCGAGUGGAAUUCCUGGUGUAGCGGUGAAAUGCGCAGAUAUCAGGAGGAACACCAAUGGCGAAGGCAGCGCGCUGGGACGGUACUGACGCUGAGACGCGAAAGCGUGGGGAGCAAACAGG